UCACGAACCACAACCUCAAGUAAAACUUCCUUAUCUACCUUAUCAAAACCGGAAACGGACUCUCGACCAUACAUCAAAGAAAUUGAGAACAUGGUGCUCCAAAUUAAUGAAAUGUCACAGCACUUUUUAAAAAAUAAACUUGAUUUAAUAACGUA